GCGGGUGCAUUUGGUAACACCGCCCGUCGCACCUACCGAUUGAAUGUUUCGGUGAAGAUUCCGGACCGCGACGCCAGAGCGCUUCACGGCGCCCUGGUCGUGGGAAGUUGUCUAAACCUCAACAUUUAGAGGAAGGUGAAGUCGUAACAAGGUUUCCGUAGGUGAACCUGCGGAAGGAUCAUUACCCAUCACUCGCGAUCGCAAUUCACCCGUCGGGAGCGAGCGACCGAGCAAGCGCGAGGCUGUCGCCUAUAUGCUCGCCCGGUUCGUUCGUCCCCGGGUGCGAUGAACGAGAGCGAGUGGGCGGAGCUUUGGCUCCGUCCGCUCGUGAACGGACCUUUCCAUUUCCAGUGUGGCAGACUUGGGUGCUUCCGCGGUACUGGAAUGGGGAGGCUCGGGAGCGCCCGCAAACCCUCUUCGGGUGGGACCGCCUUGUCGGGGCGGGAGGGCCCGAGGUAGCUGUAUUGCAUUCCCCGCGCGCUUUGCGCGUUGUGUGCGUUGCACUGCACUCCUCGCGAAAGGUUCCUAUGGCUUGCUCGGUCGGUUGCUUCGUGUGACAGAUCGAGCGAGCUUUGAGUCUCGUCCUCUUUAUUCGCUACUUCUUCUCGCUCGAGUUGGAUUGGGGAAGACGAGGAAGGGGCGAAAAGGUUUAAAUUCCCAGUAUUAUGUCGUGGAGGUGGCGCCUUGGGGUUGUUCGCGGUCGGUAUUCGGUCGUUGGCGGCCCCGGGCGGCCUACGCGGCACGUUGGCGCGGUGUGUGUAUUGUGUGGUGGUGGUGGGCUUGGCGGCUCGCUACUGGUACGCACUAGCAUCCAUCGCGUUCAGCGAACCAUUACCAGUUUUCUGAUCUCGACUCUGCGGGAAGAGGGCCGGUGCGGCUUCCGCAUGGGCCUCCAUUCUGUAGGGUUCGAACCCAACUUCCUAUAAAACUUUCAGCGACGGAUGUCUUGGCUCCCACAACGAUGAAGAACGCAGCGAAAUGCGAUACGUCUUGCGACUUGCAGAAUCUCGUGAAUCAUCGAAACUUCGAACGCAUCUUGCGCUCCCGGGAUAUGCCUGGGAGCAUGCUUGUCGGGGAGGAGGAGGCGAAAACUCGCCCACAGCUUUGGGUUCGAUCUCGACCUCAAGGCGGUGGAGCGGAAUCUGAGUGUUCCGGGGAGCGGUAGUGUGGUGUGUACUUUUGUACAUACUGCCUGUUCGUCCCCUGAGUCCACCCAAGCCUAGAGAGCUACCGAUUGUCCGGGCUUCUAUUGUCUUUGCGGCGCUGGAGACAGGUCUACCUUGCGUCCUCCGGAAGAUACGUUGUUGACGCCGGGGAUGUGCGCGGGUGACUUUGAGGUGUCGCUGGAGGCAAGUUCACCUUGCGUCCUCCGGAGGAUCUGUUGUUGACGGCGCCCCAUAUCGCGGGGCGGGGACAUGACGGGUCGCCGGGGAUGUGCGCAGGUGGCCUUGAGGCUUGGAACGUUAGGCAGUCUCGAGAGUGCCGGUGAGAGACCGGUGAUUAUGAUUAUGCCAUACCCCCGAUCAAGCAAGAAGACCCGCUGAAUUUAAGCAUAUAACUAAGCGGAGAAGUGAACUUGUUCA
rnacentral:rRNA from 1 species